CAAAAGUUGAACGCAAAAAUGUUUUGAAAUACUUGAAAAAUAUUGCAAAAAGAAAUUAAAACGAGAAUGACAUAAAAAUUAAAAUAGAUGAAAAAAUUAUUUUAAAAAAUAGGAGAAAAAUGUAUGUGAUGCAAAAUAUUUUUAAAGACUUUGUGUAAAAAAAUUGGAUCAAAAUGAGUGAGAAAUUAAAUUGAAAAGAAAAGGAAUAAAAGAAAAUAAAAAUAAAAUGAAAUUAGGGCGCCAACGGCUAGCAGAUUAGAAAAAUGUGCGUGGAAGG
rnacentral:lncRNA from 1 species